rnacentral:rRNA from 1 species
CAGCACCUCAAGUGGUCAGGAUGAUUAUUGGGCCUAAAGCAUCCGUAGCCGGCGCUGUAAGUUUUCGGCUAAAUCUGUACGCUCAACGUACAGGCUGCCGGGAAUACUGCAGCGCUAGGGAGUGGGAGAGGUAGACGGUACUCGGUAGGAGGGGGUAAAAUCCUUUGAUCUAUUGAUGACCACCUGUGGCGAAGGCGGUCUACCAGAACACGUCCGACGGUGAGGGAUGAAAGCUGGGGGAGCGAACCGGAUUAGAUACCCGAGUAGUCC